CAUGUCCUUUUGAUUUUAAUUUAAGGUCUGAUCUGCUCAAUGAAUUUUAAAUAGCCGCAGUAUUUUGACUGUGCAAAGGUAGCAUAAUAAUUAGUUUCUUGAUUAGAAACUGGAAUGAAUGAUUAGACAAGAAAAUUACUGUCUCUUUUUUAAAUUUAUUGAAUUUUAUUUUUAAGUGAAAAAGCUUAAAUUUUUAUAAAAGACGAGAAGACCCUAUAGAGUUUAAUAUUUCUUAUAAAUAAAUUAUUAGAAUUAUUAUUUUAUAAGUUUUAUUUAAUUGGGGUGAUUGGGAGAUUAAAAAAAUUCUUUUAAAUAAUAAUUGUUAGUAUACAAAUUUUAUAUCUAUUAUUAAUAAAUAUAAAAUAAAUUACCUUAGGGAUAACAGCGUAAUUUUUCUUUAAAGUUCUUAUUGUAAGGAAAGUUUGCGACCUCGAUGUUGGAUUAAAAUUAAUUUUUGGUGCAAUAACUUAAAAAUUAGGUCUGUUCGACCUUUAAAAUUUUACAUGAUCUGAGUUUAAACCGGUGUGAGCCAGGUUGGAUUCUAUCUUUAGAAAUAUAGUAUAUUUUAGUACGAAAGGACCAAGUAUAUGUUAAAUUAAUUG
rnacentral:rRNA from 1 species